AUGGGUGUUUUAGCACUUACCACAAACUUUGUUAAUGCUUCAUCGCCCAAGGCUACCAUUAAGAAGGAAGGAUGGUCCUGUCCCCCUAGAGGUUUCGUGAAACUUAAUAUUGAUGCUUCUUUUGACCAUGAUAUGCUUAGGGGAACGAUGGGGACGGUCCUAAGAGACGACAAAGGUAGGUUUAUUGCUGGAGGAAAUGGGAAGAUCGAUUACUGCGCAGAUGUGCUAAUGGCAGAAGCUUUUGCUCCCAAGUUUGGUUUAACUCUGGCGCAAAGGGCGGGAUGUAAUCGCCUUAUUAUUAACUCAGAUAACCUGGAGGUAAUUUAUACUAUGCAGGAUGGAGGACAAUCAGCGGGCGCGGCAGCAGCAAUCUUCGACGAUUGUUUUCAUUACGCUUGUGAUUUUAAUAUUACUAGAUUCGAACAUUGUAAUAGAGAAGAAGUAGCUCAUGAGCUUGCUAAAUUAGCUAGAUUUUCUUUGACUUCUGUCUGGUUUGAGGAACCUGUAGAUGAGAUUGUAAUGAUCCUCAUGAACAAUGUACUUCUUAUAUCUAAUGAAUAA
rnacentral:rRNA from 1 species